GGAGGCCUUGGCCACAGAACUACCGUGUGGCUCUGAUCUGCACUAAGGAAAAUAGUAGGAAGACAGGACACUCGCUGCGCUCGCAGGACUAAGAGGGAACACCCCUUUUGCGGCAUGCACCAAAGUCCUCCAUUCCCCCCCGGGAAGUCAAAGCUAAGCUGCAGCCAUCUUUGUGGAGGCCUAAAGGGAAAGCACAGCCGCUCAACCACUCCACAAACACAAACAAGGAAAGGAAGGGGAACACGCACACACAGGCACGACUUUCCAGAAGGGAAGGACAACGCAGCACAGCCAACACCUGGGAAUAAACCCACAACCACGGCAACAGACAAGAGCCUGUGACCUGUCCCUAGGCUGCACGGAGGCCACAGACCUCAACGUGCCAAGGGGCUUCUCAGGUAAAGCCAGCGGCCAAAUGCCGUGACGCACACCCCGAGUACGGGGCCGUCGCGUUGACAAGCCACCAUCAGGCAACGAUGCCGAGGGGCCGGGGGAGGAAGAGGGGCAGGGAAACGGCACUACCCUGCUUACAGGGUGGCCUUGGGGUCCGGCGAGCUCCAUUUCCCACUCAGGUGCGGAGAGGUGGCUCUCGCCCUCCGUUACAGGGGGCCACGCUCCCCAGGCAGCCCUAGGAGCAGCAAGGCAAAAGGCCAACUACAGCAAAGACCCGAGCCCCGCUUACGGGGAGGUCGCCCAGCACAACGCCAGCCUGGUCACCAAAGGCGCCGG
ensembl:lncRNA